GCCGGAGCGCCUUCGGACUCGGAGGACUCAGCUCGGUUUCCAUGGAGAAGAAAUAAGGAGCCUAUGAGGGAGACCUCGGAGGAAGGAGGCGGCGCCCGAGUGGUUUCCAUGGAGACAGCAGUGCGCGCGGGGAUGCAAGAAGAUCCUGAAGACGUACCUAUUUUCCCAGACUUUUAAUUGAAAUUGAAAUUUUGUAUGUUUUUAUUCAUUGAUAUUUUUAUCUGAUUUAUGAAUUUUAACUGUUUUAUAUUGUUUUUAUAUAAUGUUUUAACUUGUACACUGCCUGGAGAUUUUUCUAUCAGGUAGGAUAGAAAUUUGAUAGAUAAAUAAAUAAUAGUGCUGUGA